rnacentral:rRNA from 1 species
UUAAGUGACUAAGCGUACAAGGUGGAUGCCUUGGCAAUCAGAGGCGACGAAGGACGUGCUAAUCUGCGAAAAGCUUGGAUGAGUCGAUAAGAGGCGUUUAAUCCAAGAUGUCCGAAUGGGGAAACCCAGUAGAUGAAGAAUCUACUAUCACUUACUGAAUCCAUAGGUAAGUGAGGCAAACCGGGAGAACUGAAACAUCUAAGUACCCCGAGGAAAAGAAAUCAACCGAGAUUCCCCCAGUAGCGGCGAGCGAACGGGGAGCAGCCCAGAGCCUGAAUCAGUGUGUGUGUUAGUGGAAGCGUCUGGAAAGGCGCGCGAUACAGGGUGACAGCCCCGUACACAAAAAUGCACAUGCUGUGAGCUCGAUGAGUAGGGCGGGACACGUGGUAUCCUGUCUGAAUAUGGGGGGACCAUCCUCCAAGGCUAAAUACUCCUGACUGACCGAUAGUGAACCAGUACCGUGAGGGAAAGGCGAAAAGAACCCCGGCGAGGGGAGUGAAAAAGAACCUGAAACCGUGUACGUACAAGCAGUGGGAGCACGCUUAGGCGUGUGACUGCGUACCUUUUGUAUAAUGGGUCAGCGACUUAUAUUCUGUAGCAAGGUUAACCGAAUAGGGGAGCCGAAGGGAAACCGAGUCUUAACUGGGCGUUAAGUUGCAGGGUAUAGACCCGAAACCCGGUGAUCUAGCCAUGGGCAGGUUGAAGGUUGGGUAACACUAACUGGAGGACCGAACCGACUAAUGUUGAAAAAUUAGCGGAUGACUUGUGGCUGGGGGUGAAAGGCCAAUCAAACCGGGAGAUAGCUGGUUCUCCCCGAAAGCUAUUUAGGUAGCGCCUCGUGAACUCAUCUCCGGGGGUAGAGCACUGUUUCGGCAAGGGGGUCAUCCCGACUUACCAACCCGAUGCAAACUGCGAAUACCGGAGAAUGUUAUCACGGGAGACACACGGCGGGUGCUAACGUCCGUCGUGAAGAGGGAAACAACCCAGACCGCCAGCUAAGGUCCCAAAGUCAUGGUUAAGUGGGAAACGAUGUGGGAAGGCCCAGACAGCCAGGAUGUUGGCUUAGAAGCAGCCAUCAUUUAAAGAAAGCGUAAUAGCUCACUGGUCGAGUCGGCCUGCGCGGAAGAUGUAACGGGGCUAAACCAUGCACCGAAGCUGCGGCAGCGACGCUUAUGCGUUGUUGGGUAGGGGAGCGUUCUGUAAGCCUGUGAAGGUGUGCUGUGAGGCAUGCUGGAGGUAUCAGAAGUGCGAAUGCUGACAUAAGUAACGAUAAAGCGGGUGAAAAGCCCGCUCGCCGGAAGACCAAGGGUUCCUGUCCAACGUUAAUCGGGGCAGGGUGAGUCGACCCCUAAGGCGAGGCCGAAAGGCGUAGUCGAUGGGAAACAGGUUAAUAUUCCUGUACUUGGUGUUACUGCGAAGGGGGGACGGAGAAGGCUAUGUUGGCCGGGCGACGGUUGUCCCGGUUUAAGCGUGUAGGCUGGUUUUCCAGGCAAAUCCGGAAAAUCAAGGCUGAGGCGUGAUGACGAGGCACUACGGUGCUGAAGCAACAAAUGCCCUGCUUCCAGGAAAAGCCUCUAAGCAUCAGGUAACAUCAAAUCGUACCCCAAACCGACACAGGUGGUCAGGUAGAGAAUACCAAGGCGCUUGAGAGAACUCGGGUGAAGGAACUAGGCAAAAUAGCACCGUAACUUCGGGAGAAGGUGCGCCGGCGUAGAUUGUAGUCCCUUGCGGAUGAAGGUUGAACCGGUCGAAGAUACCAGCUGGCUGCAACUGUUUAUUAAAAACACAGCACUGUGCAAACACGAAAGUGGACGUAUACGGUGUGACGCCUGCCCGGUGCCGGAAGGUUAAUUGAUGGGGUUAGCGCAAGCGAAGCUCUUGAUCGAAGCCCCGGUAAACGGCGGCCGUAACUAUAACGGUCCUAAGGUAGCGAAAUUCCUUGUCGGGUAAGUUCCGACCUG